AAAAAGACAAUCAGAUACAAUAUCAGGGAUCUUCUGGUAAGGCUUCUGGCUACCAUUAGUUCUGAAUACUGAGAAUUUGAGGAGAAAAAUGGCUGUGAGUUUUGAAAUGUCUUUGAGAAUUUCUUGGAUUUGUUGCCUGCUAAUUGGAGGGAUAACCUGUUAUCCUCCACCUAAAGGUAAUUAUAGAUAUAUUCCCCAAAAUCAAUUAAAAGGAAUUGGCCACAAAGCAGCGGUAACUACCGGAUCCCGUGCCUCGGCAGGUGAAGCAGCCUCCUGUAAUGCCACUGCAAGCGUCACGACUGGCCCAAAUACCUUAGGUGGAGCAACCGGAUCCCGUGCCUCAGAAGCAGUCACCCACAAUGCCUCAGCAAGCGUCACGACUGGCCCAAAUACCUUAGCUGAAGCAACUGGCCACAAUGCUUCAUCAAGCGCCACGACUGGCCCAAAUGCCUUAGGUCAAGCAGCUGGCUAUAGUGCCUCGGCAGAGGAAGCAACUGGCCACAGUGUCGCGCAAGCGGCCACCCAUAAUGCCUCGGCAAGUGUGGCAACUGGCCCAAAUACCUUAGGUGAAGCAACUGGCCACAAUGCUUCAUCAAGAGUCACGACUGGCCCAAAUACCUUAGCUGAAGCAACUGGCCACAAUGCUUCAUCAAGCGCCACGACUGGCCCAAAUGCCUUAGGUGAAGCAACUGGCCAUGGUGCCUCGGCAGCGGAACCAACUGGCCACAGUGCCAUGCAAGCGGCCACCCAUAAUGCCUCGGAAGUGG